UGUAAGGACUUUAUCAACCUUAAGAAUUUCACACAAGAUUGGUUUAUUCUUUUUAAAUGUCAUAUUCGUGUUAUUUUACUUAUUAUUAUUUGUUGGUUCCUUUGAAAAAGUAGGAACGAGUCGAAGAAUGAGAACAUUACUAUGAAUUCACUGACCAUUAUCUAUAAAAUUAUGGGUCCCUCGGAUGUCCAUACUACUAUUGUGAUUGAAAUUCAAGCUUUAAAGUAUGGUUUACAAUUAUGUAUUUCUUUAUAGAUUACUAAUAUUUACAUUGAAGUUGAUGCUAUGAUUGUGAUUUAUUAUAUUACUGAUAAAAUUAAUGUUAAUCCCUCUUAUUUCUAUAUCAUUAGAGAAACGCAAUGGCUGUCGCUUAUCAAUUUUUCUAGAACUCACAUUUAUAGGGAAGGCAGUGUUGCUGUUGAUUUUUUAGCUGACUUGGGUUGUAAUUUGAUGAAUUUCGUGGAAUAUAUGGGGUCCUCUCUUCCUACCAAACUUGUGGGGAUGGCUAGCUUGACCGUUUGGGACUUCCUUAUGUUAGAGUCAAUUAUGUUCUACCUUAGCCUAUUUGCUAUUUUGUUGUGGUCUUUGUGCUUUUUGUCAUAUUUGUUUCUUUUGGUUUUAUUUACUUAUUUAAUAUAUGAGUGGAUUAAUCUAAA